GACAGAGGAUGCAAGCGUUAUCCGGAAUGAUUGGGCGUAAAGCGUCUGUAGGUGGCUUUUUUAAGUCCGCCGUCAAAUCCCAGGGCUCAACCCUGGACAGGCGGUGGAAACUACCAAGCUGGAGUACGGUAGGGGCAGAGGGAAUUUCCGGUGGAGCGGUGAAAUGCGUAGAGAUCGAAAGAACACCAACGGCGAAAGCACUCUGCUGGGCCGACACUACUGAGAGACGAAAGCUAGGGGGGAGC
rnacentral:rRNA from 1 species